CCUACGGGAGGCAGCAGUGGGGGAUAUUGCACAAUGGGGGGAACCCUGAUGCAGCGACGCCGCGUGGGUGAAGAAGCGCCUCGGCGCGUAAAGCCCUGUCAGCAGGGAAGAAAAUGACGGUAACUGAAGAAGAAGCCCCGGCUAACUACGUGCCAGCAGCCGCGGUAAUACGUAGGGGGCAAGCGUUAUCCGGAUUUACUGGGUGUAACGGGGGCGCAGACGGCGAUGCAAGCCAGGAGUGAAAGCCCGGGGCCCAACCCCGGGACUGCUCUUGGAACUGUGUGGCUGGAGUGCAGGAGGGGCAGGCGGAAUUCCUGGUGUAGCGGUGAAAUGCGUAGAUAUCAGGAGGAACACCGGUGGCGAAGGCGGCCUGCUGGACUGCAACUGACGUUGAGGCCCGAAAGCGUGGGGAGCAAACAGGAUUAGAUACCCGGGUAGUC
rnacentral:rRNA from 1 species